rnacentral:rRNA from 1 species
AGAGUUUGAUCAUGGCUCAGAUUGAACGCUGGCGGCAUGCCUUACACAUGCAAGUCGAACGGCAGCACGGGAGUAAUCCUGGUGGCGAGUGGCGAACGGGUGAGUAAUAUAUCGGAACGUGCCCAGUCGUGGGGGAUAACGCAGCGAAAGCUGUGCUAAUACCGCAUACGAUCUCUGGAUGAAAGCGGGGGACUCGCAAGAGCCUCGCGCGAUUGGAGCGGCCGAUAUCAGAUUAGCUAGUUGGUGGGGUAAAAGCCCACCAAGGCGACGAUCUGUAGCUGGUCUGAGAGGACGACCAGCCACACUGGAACUGAGACACGGUCCAGACUCCUACGGGAGGCAGCAGUGGGGAAUUUUGGACAAUGGGCGCAAGCCUGAUCCAGCAAUGCCGCGUGCAGGAUGAAGGCCUUCGGGUUGUAAACUGCUUUUGUACGGAACGAAACGGCUCUUUCUAAUAAAGAGGGCUAAUGACGGUACCGUAAGAAUAAGCACCGGCUAACUACGUGCCAGCAGCCGCGGUAAUACGUAGGGUGCGAGCGUUAAUCGGAAUUACUGGGCGUAAAGCGUGCGCAGGCGGUGAUGUAAGACAGAUGUGAAAUCCCUGGGCUCAACCUGGGACCUGCAUUUGUGACUGCAUCGCUAGAGUACGGUAGAGGGGGAUGGAAUUCCGCGUGUAGCAGUGAAAUGCGUAGAUAUGCGGAGGAACACCGAUGGCGAAGCAAUCCCCUGGACCUGUACUGACGCUCAUGCACGAAAGCGUGGGGAGCAAACAGGAUUAGAUACCCUGGUAGUCCACGCCCUAAACGAUGUCAACUGGUUGUUGGGUCUUUACUGACUCAUAACGAAGCUAACGCGUGAAGUUGACCGCCUGGGGAGUACGGCCGCAAGGUUGAACUCAAGGAAUUGAGGAACCCGCA